UUGUGGUAGUAGUUGGAAGAUACAGGACCUGGACAGAACACUGAAUUACCCCAAAUCUCUGAGCCUAGUGCCUUUGUAAUCUGAUCACGACUGGCCACUACGAGUCAAAGUAAUGCAGAAAAAAGGGAAAUGAAAUUCAAGCAUACCGUCAGCAGAGAAGCCACAGAAGUCACUACAGAUCUUCUUGCUGACAUGUGCUCAUUCUUUUGCUAAUGAACUGAAACGUCUGAAAUAAUACCCUUGCACCCUGACACCUACAUUUUGUUGGCUGGCAAUUGAUAGCAUUUGGAAGAAGGAAAAAGAGGGGCCUUCUGUACUUGGCAUGUUUUAUUUAAUAAAUGUAUACAUGAUGUUAAUAUUUGUAUAUGGUAUUUAUGCAGAGGCUCUAAGUCUCUCAGAUAUCUGCUAAAUGAAUAGAAUUAAAAUGAGUAUAAUUUGGGUUUUGCUUGCAUAGUAUCUCUUUGUUUAUGCUAUGAAUGAAAAAUGGUUGUCACAAAUGAACGGAAAGCUCUGCGCAGUAUGUAAGCAGAGGGAGAAGCUGCAGGUUUGUUUUCAUGCUGUCUUUUGCCUCUAUUAGCAGGAGCAUUCCUGGUCACAGAUGGAAUAAGAUUCUGUAGGUAUUGACACACAAUCCUCAGAAUAUACUAUUCAGGAUACAUGUUUGUGAUCCAUAUAGAAAACUAGAUCCUGGACGUAAAGAAAAUAGGGUUAGUGUCUCUGAAAAGGUGUCAGUGAUUGGAACUAUUUUUUAUUCCAAUGAAACAUAAAUGGGUUGGUUUGCUUACAGGCCAUUUCAGUCAGCCAGCUCUUAGGAACAAGUUUUCUUGGGAGCGUGUUAUUAGCUGACUGCCACUGCUUUACAGAAAAACAAAGACUUCUUUCUCCCAUAACACUAUUGAAUAUUAGUCACCUAACAAAAUUAGCAAAGUCAAUAGUGUUUUCAUCAUACCUAUUUUCUGACUAGUAUUCUUCAUUUUCAUUUCAAUCAUAUUUUUGGAAUUGAGAAUUUUCCACUUGUAAUAUUGCACGGCAGUACCAUUUUGUUGUUAGCUUGGGUGAAAGCACAGUGGUUCAUGGGAACAACAGAUAUUCUGAGGACUCUGGAGAUAUGCCUAUGUAGUGAGUUGUCACAGCAUGGAUUCAGGUGCCUAAGUUUAGGCAGCAAAGUUUAUUUGCUUGUUCUCCCUCUUCUCACAGAUAGCGACCACUUGAGAGAGGAAAAGCUCAGGGUUCCAUUAGCGUCUUAAUACAGGGGUUUUCAGUCUUUUUAAAGAACUGUACCCUU